UUUCCUUGAAAUUGAAGCUGCAGAAUUGUGAACUUUUUAUGUUACCUACUUCAAUUUGUUUGAAUAAGCUGAAAAUACUUCAUCUCGAAGGGGUUAGAUUCUCGGGAGAUGAUGCAGUUCAGAAACUUCUUGUUGGUUGUCCAAUUCUUGAAACUUUGGUAAUGGUAGGCUGCCAUAUUUACAAUGAAAAAGUUGUUGACAUUAGUGUUCCUAGUCUAAGGAAUUUUACUAUGCGUCAUAUUUAUCUUCGCAGCGACUCUAGAAUCAAAAUCUCCAAUCUGAAUCUCUUAGUAUUCAACUACACAGUGAUGGAAUGUAAUAUGAAGAACAACUCCAUAGACAGAUUGUCCUCUCUGAUGGAUGCAUAUAUCGAGGUUCUCCUCCAACCAGGUGGUAGUUGCAGCAUAAAAAAGGUACAAUGAAUGCUUUGACAUUGUGCGUGAGCUUUUUAGCGGGUUGGCUAGCAUACGGUCACUAACAUUACCCAGAAGUACACUUGAGAUACUCUCAAAUGCUCUAGAUUUCUUGGAUUCACUGCCAAGCUUUGAAAAUCUAAACAAAUUGAUGCUCACAUCACUUAGACAGAGAGAUUAUUUUCAAGUGAUUGCAUACUUGCUGCAAAGCGCGCCUAGUCUAGAAUCUCUUGUCAUUGAUCUGGUGGACCUGCCAUGUAUUGGUGUUGUUCCGAAGGAAGAAGGUCAAGCAGUGUCAACAGAGUUUUUAUGUCUGGAGACUCUUGUUCUCAAUCACCUCAAGGAAGUAAAGAUUAGCUCCUUUCGGGGAAUUGAAGUUGAGCUCGAG